rnacentral:misc_RNA from 1 species
AAAUCAUCAUAGGCACCGCAAGGUCCUAUAUACACCCCAAGCCUGGGAAGAGCAGUUGCUCGGAACGGCUUUGGUUGCAGCCCUCGGGCUGUAGGUCGGGACUGCCGCGAGGCGGUCCGUGACCACAUAGACGCUUGUAUGUUUGACAGAGUUUAGUUGCAUCAUAAAAAAUACAACUUUUAACAAUGGAUCUCUUGGCUCU